AGAAAUCUAGAAGUUUUUGAUUGUCAGUGUGGAGAGAAAGAAUCUACUUAAAAUACAUCAUGUCACAUUAUCACCGAUCAGACAUCAAGAUGCCAAUUAUAGUGACAAAACAACAACAUGAUUUGAAUUGUCCUCUACUCAUGUGCCGCUACAGAACUAUGAGACGUCCGCUGACACGUACCGCCUUGCACGCGCUCUCCCUACCACAUUUCACAGAAUAAUAAGCAGAUAACAGAAGUUGAGAUGCAACAAUCUUCUCACACAGCAUCUGCAGCGAUAAACAACUGACACGCGCCAGUGUCGGUAUCAGCAAAGUAACCACGUGUUUAGCGGAGUAAGACUUAUCAGCAGAAACUAAUACUGUAAAAAAAAUGCAGCAGCAAGGACUUCUAGAAAACAGGAAACUUCAAUAAUACUUCCAUUAAAAACCACAUCAGCUAAUACCCUAACACUUCUGGGAGGACACCAGCGAAAUCGAAGAUUGCAGCGUCCGUAGAAGUAAUCACGUACCAAAAUUCCGCGCUAUCAUGGAAUGCUCCGUCACGUGACAAUUAGCCAUAACAGAUGAGUCAGUUACCCAUGAUAGAUGAGUCAGUUAGCCAUGAUAAGGAGAGUCAGUUAUUUAGUUCAGUCAGUAAAAAAGAGAGUCAGUUAUUCAGUUCAGUUAGUAAAAGGAAGGUCAUUUAAACAGUCCAUAUAAAAUCUGUAACGCAGUUUAUUCAAAAUUCUGUUGAAGGAGUCUUUGAGUUCAGUCAGUUAAAGUCGGCCAGUUAAAAGAAAAUCCAAUCCAGUUACUCAGUUUAGUUAUAGAGUCUAGUUAGUUGAAAUUUUGUCAAGAGUCAGUAAAAAAUUUAUCAAGAGUUAAUAUCAAGUUCAUAAAAAUAAUAGUCUUUGCGAAGCCGAGGAUUGUUUCAAUAUAGAGUCUUUGAGUAACAUUAAAAAGUAAAACCGAGAUCUACCAUUCUUCAGCAAUUCAUACAGCCAGUCUUCCAACAACUACACGAACUUAAUACGAUAUUCCAAGAAUGCGAUCGACAACACAUAUAAGCAAGAUGAGAAGCUAAACAUUAUAACACUUUCUUCUUCGAUUUCGAACUUGUACUACAUAUACGAUUUCAAUAAAAUUAUUUAUUGACUAUUAUUGUGAACGAUCAAAGAGAUAUUGAAAAUAUUUAUUUACUCCAAGAAAACUUUAACCCUUCCUGUGCUAGUACUCCUGC
rnacentral:misc_RNA from 1 species